GAUUAACGCUGGCGGCGUGCCUAAUACAUGCAAGUCGAGCGAACAGAUGAGAAGCUUGCUUCUCUGAUGUUAGCGGCGGACGGGUGAGUAACACGUGGGUAACCUACCUAUAAGACUGGGAUAACUGCGGGAAACCGGGGCUAAUACCGGAUAAUAUUUUGAACCGCAUGGUUCCAUAGUGCAAGACGGUUUCGGCUGUCCCGUAUAGAUGGACCCGCGCCGUAUUAGCUAGUUGGUAAGGUAACGGCUUACCAAGGCGACGAUACGUAGCCGACCUGAGAGGGUGAUCGGCCACACUGGAACUGAGACACGGUCCAGACUCCUACGGGAGGCAGCAGUAGGGAAUCUUCCGCAAUGGGCGAAAGCCUGACGGAGCAACGCCGCGUGAGUGAUGAAGGUCUUCGGAUCGUAAAACUCUGUUGUUAGGGAAGAACAAAUUUGUUAGUAACUGAACAAGUCUUGACGGUACCUAACCAGAAAGCCACGGCUAACUACGUGCCAGCCGCCGCAGUAA
rnacentral:rRNA from 1 species